CUCUUCACUCUCGCAAUCGAUCCGUCUCUCUCUUUUCUUCGAUAUUGUCGAUGACUUCUCUCCAUCGGGGAUCGCCGAUCUUGGCCGCUCGCAAUCGAACCGUCUCUCUUGCAAUCGAUCCGUCUCUCUUGCAAUCGAUCCGUCUCUCGCAAUCGAUCCGUCUCUCUCGUUCUUGGCCGCUUCUCUUUGCCGCUCUCUCUUCGUCUCUCUCUUCGUCGAUUUCUCUCUUCGUCGCUCUCUCUUCGUCUGUUUCUCUCUUCGUCGAUUUCUCACUUCGUCGAUUUCUCUCUUCGUCCGUUUCUGUCUUCGUCAUCGAUGCUGUCAAAGGGAGAUGAUGUUUGAUCCGUUCCUCUCUUCGCCGUUCUUCUCCUCUGGAGCCGUCCAUGCAAUCAUCGUGAAGGUUAUGUCUCUUUAAUUUUUUUGUUCCAGUGAAUUGUAAUCCUUCGAUUAGAAUCGAAUAUGUUGUUUCGAUUAUGAGUUUUGACUCAGUUCAUCUCCUCUCUUUGUCUCUCUCAUUACAUGGAGAGAGGAAGAACAUAGGUUUGUGCAACAGUCAAGAAGAGGGAUGCGAUUGUGCGUUAACAGUCAGGAAGAGAGAUGUUGAGAUAGAAAAGAUGUAAAAUCAGAUGGCAGAGUUGAGAAAGAAGAUGGAUUUGUUCAGUCUCGGCUUAAAAAAUUAAUGAGAUUCAUUGAACACAAGGAAGUAGAUAUACCAAAGGAGCAGCAAGAAACGUACCAAAGUCCAUGAAAGAGGAUCAAACAUCAUCAAAGCUUUUAAUGCGUGUGAAGCGAGAAGAGUUGUGUUUCCAUGUGACAGAAGAAGCCAAGAAGAAACAGUUGUGUUUCCAUGUGACGAAAAAGAAGACAAACGUGUGUUUCCAUGUGACAGAAGAAGCCAAGCAGAAACAGUUGUGUUGCAUGUGAAGUAGAAGAAGACAAACGUGUGGAAUCGCAAGUUGUGUUUCAUAUUUUUUCUUUAUAAAUGUUGCCAUUUCGCUUCCUGAUUGCAAAAGAACAAGCAGUCUUUGUAAACCCUUUGCCAUUUCUCUUCCAAUACCAAACUGUCUUUAUAAACAAA